rnacentral:lncRNA from 1 species
GAACAGAAUUGAAGCUUUAAAUCACUGAAAUUAUAUUAAUACUAAUAGAAAAUAGGAGUUGGACUGGGCUACUAUUAGUAGCAAAAUUUCAUUGUUGCUACCAGUUUUUUAGCCUUUGGAUCAACUCUUUUUAUUAUUUCUAACCAUUGGAUUAAAUACUAUAACCCAGUGAGAACCAUUCAACCCUAGGGGGGCCACUCAACUCUAACCGACUAAUAUCAUCCUAACCCUACAAUAUUUCAUCCAAGAGUUAAAAAGUUGAUAGCAAAAGAGCGUUUUAUUAUUAAUAGUAUUCCAGCCUAAUUCUAGAAAAGAGUAGAUAUAGUGGGGACACAAGUUUGUGUGGCGACCGAGAGAUU